rnacentral:rRNA from 1 species
UUAAGUGACUAAGCGUACAAGGUGGAUGCCUUGGCAAUCAGAGGCGAAGAAGGACGUGCUAAUCUGCGAAAAGCUUGGAUGAGUCGAUAAGAGGCGUUUAAUCCAAGAUAUCCGAAUGGGGAAACCCAGUAGAUGAAGAAUCUACUAUUAACAAGUGAAUUCAUAGCUUGUUGAGGCAAACCGGGAGAACUGAAACAUCUAAGUACCCCGAGGAAAAGAAAUCAACCGAGAUUUCGUCAGUAGCGGCGAGCGAAAGCGAAAGAGCCAGUAAGUGAUAGCAGUAUAGUUAGGAGAAUGUGUUGGGAAACACAAUCAAAGAGGGUGAUAAUCCCGUAUCUAAAAACCAUAUUGUGGUACUAAGCUAACGAGAAGUAGGGCGGGACACGUGAUAUCCUGUUUGAAGAAGGGGGGACCAUCCUCCAAGGCUAAAUACUCCUGAUUGACCGAUAGUGAACCAGUACUGUGAAGGAAAGGCGAAAAGAACCCCGGUGAGGGGAGUGAAAUAGAACCUGAAACCUUGUACGUACAAGCAGUGGGAGCCUGAAAGGGUGACUGCGUACCUUUUGUAUAAUGGGUCAGCGACUUAUAUUUUGUAGCGAGGUUAACCGAAUAGGGGAGCCGAAGGGAAACCGAGUCUUAACUGGGCGAAGAGUUGCAAGGUAUAGACCCGAAACCCGGUGAUCUAGCCAUGGGCAGGUUGAAGGUUGGGUAACACUAACUGGAGGACCGAACCGACUAAUGUUGAAAAAUUAGCGGAUGACUUGUGGCUGGGGGUGAAAGGCCAAUCAAACCGGGAGAUAGCUGGUUCUCCCCGAAAUCUAUUUAGGUAGAGCCUUGAGGUGACACCUUUGGGGGUAGAGCACUGUUUCGGCUAGGGGUCCAUCCCGGAUUACCAACCCGAUGCAAACUACGAAUACCAAAGAGUGAUACUCAGGAGACACACGGCGGGUGCUAACGUCCGUCGUGGAGAGGGAAACAACCCAGACCGCCAGCUAAGGUCCCCAAGUCUAUAUUAAGUGGGAAACGAAGUGGGAAGGCUUAGACAGCUAGGAUGUUGGCUUAGAAGCAGCCAUCAUUUAAAGAAAGCGUAAUAGCUCACUAGUCGAGUCGGCCUGCGCGGAAGAUGUAACGGGGCUGAAAUAUAGCACCGAAGCUGCGGCAUCAGACGAAAGUCUGUUGGGUAGGGGAGCGUUCUGUAAGCGGAUGAAGGUUAAUCGAGAGGUUAGCUGGACGUAUCAGAAGUGCGAAUGCUGACAUAAGUAACGAUAAAACGGGUGAAAAACCCGUUCGCCGGAAGACCAAGGGUUCCUGUCCAACGUUAAUCGGGGCAGGGUGAGUCGGCCCCUAAGGCGAGGCUGAAAAGCGUAGUCGAUGGGAAACAGGUUAAUAUUCCUGUACUUGGUAAAGCUGCGAUGUGGGGACGGAGUAGGUUAGGUUAUCGCACUGUUGGAUAUGUGCGUUUAAGUUGGUAGGUGGGAAGUUUAGGCAAAUCCGGACUUCUAUUAAACACUGAGAGAUGAUGACGAGGCUCUAAGGAGCUGAAGUAACUGAUACCACACUUCCAGGAAAAGCCACUAAGCGACAGGCUUUACUAAACCGUACUGAAAACCGACACAGGUGGUCAGGUAGAGAAUACUCAGGCGCUUGAGAGAACUCGGGUGAAGGAACUAGGCAAAAUAGCACCGUAACUUCGGGAGAAGGUGCGCCGGCGUAGAUUGUAGAGAUUUACUCUCGAAGGUUGAACCGGUCGAAGAUACCAGCUGGCUGCAACUGUUUAUUAAAAACACAGCACUCUGCAAACACGAAAGUGGAGGUAUAGGGUGUGAUGCCUGCCCGGUGCUGGAAGGUUAAUUGAUGGUGUAAUCGAAAGAGAAGCACCUGAUCGAAGCCCCAGUAAACGGCGGCCGUAACUAUAACGGUCCUAAGGUAGCGAAAUUCCUUGUCGGGUAAGUUCCGACCUGCACGAAUGGCAUAAUGAUGGCCAGGCUGUCUCCACCCGAGACUCAGUGAAAUUGAAAUCGCCGUGAAGAUGCGGUGUACCCGCGGCUAGACGGAAAGACCCCGUGAACCUUUACUAUAGCUUGACACUGAACAUUGAAUUUUGAUGUGUAGGAUAGGUGGGAGACUUAGAAGUAGUCACGCCAGUGAUUAUGGAGUCAUCCUUGAAAUACCACCCUUUAACGUUUGAUGUUCUAACGAAGAUUGCGGAACG